UCCCUUCGCCGUCGCCACCGUGACACUCACUUAUUUCCGUCAACUUGCCAUAUAAAGAUCUUUGAAUGUUUUCUUCUUUUUUUGAACAUGUUUAUCUUUCUCUUCAUUGACACUGAUUGAGAUUUUUUGUCUUUAUCACAUCUAAAAACAAGUCGUCAUAGCGACGAGGUGACGAGUCGAUGCAGCAACAACAACCUCUUGCAUUGUUUGGUAAUGACGAAGGCACGUGAUUUUCAAAUUUUUUUU
rnacentral:lncRNA from 1 species